rnacentral:rRNA from 2 species
ACGAUCGAAGGAGGAGCUUGCUCCUCCGGAUUAGUGGCGAACGGGUGAGUAAUACGUGAGCAAUGUGCCCUUGACUCUGGGAUAAGCGCUGGAAACGGCGUCUAAUACCGGAUACGACGAUCGGAGGCAUCUCCUGGUCGUGGAAAGAACUUCGGUCAAGGAUCAGCUCACGGCCUAUCAGCUAGUUGGUGAGGUAACGGCUCACCAAGGCGACGACGGGUAGCCGGCCUGAGAGGGUGACCGGCCACACUGGGACUGAGACACGGCCCAGACUCCUACGGGAGGCAGCAGUGGGGAAUAUUGCACAAUGGGCGCAAGCCUGAUGCAGCAACGCCGCGUGAGGGACGAAGGCCUUCGGGUUGUAAACCUCUUUUAGCAGGGAAGAAGCGAAAGUGACGGUACCUGCAGAAAAAGCACCGGCUAACUACGUGCCAGCAGCCGCGGUAAUACGUAGGGUGCAAGCGUUGUCCGGAAUUAUUGGGCGUAAAGAGCUCGUAGGCGGUUUGUCACGUCUGCUGUGAAAACCCGAGGCUCAACCUCGGGCUUGCAGUGGGUACGGGCAGACUAGAGUGCGGUAGGGGAGAUUGGAAUUCCUGGUGUAGCGGUGGAAUGCGCAGAUAUCAGGAGGAACACCGAUGGCGAAGGCAGAUCUCUGGGCCGUAACUGACGCUGAGGAGCGAAAGCAUGGGGAGCAAACAGGCUUAGAUACCCUGGUAGUCCAUGCCGUAAACGUUGGGAACUAGAUGUGGGGGACCAUUCCACGGUCUCCGUGUCGUAGCUAACGCAUUAAGUUCCCCGCCUGGGGGAGUACGGCCGCAAGGCUAAAACUCAAAGGAAUUGACGGGGGCCCGCACAAGCGGCGGAGCAUGCGGAUUAAUUCGAUGCAACGCGAAGAACCUUACCAAGGCUUGACAUAUACGAGAACGCACUGGAGACAGUGAACUCUUUGGACACUCGUAUACAGGUGUGCAUGGUUGUCGUCAGCUCGUGUCGUGAGAUGUUGGGUUAAGUCCCGCAACGAGCGCAACCCUCGUCCUAUGUUGCCAGCACGUAAUGGUGGGAACUUCAUG